AGCCGAUUAAUGGUGAAGCCGCGAAUGGCUCAUUACAACAGCCAUAGUUUCUUAGAUCUUACUUUUCUACUUGGAUAACUGUGGUAAUUCUAGAGCUAAUACACGCAAACAAGCUCAGACCUUACGGAAUGAGCGCAUUUAUUAGAACAAAAACCAAUCGGACUUUCGGGUCCGUCAUUUGGUGAAUCUGAAUAACUUUGCUGAUCGCACGGUCAUCGUACCGGCGACAUAUCUUUCAAAUGUCUGCCUUAUCAACUUUCGAUGGUAGUUUAUGCGCCUACCAUGGUUGUAACGGGUAACGGAGAAUAAGGGUUCGACUCCGGAGAGGGAGCCUGAGAAACGGCUACCACAUCCAAGGAAGGCAGCAGGCACGCAAAUUACCCACUCCCGGCACGGGGAGGUAGUGACGAAAAAUAACGAGACGGCUCGCUAUGCGGUCCGUCAUCGGAAUGGGUACAAUUUAAAUCCUUUAACGAGGAUCUAUU
rnacentral:rRNA from 1 species